rnacentral:rRNA from 1 species
UCGAUUCCCUUAGUAGCGGCGAGCGAAACGGGAAGAGCCCAAACCAACAAGCUUGCUUGUUGGGGUUGUAGGACACUCUAUACGGAGUUACAAAGGACGACAUUAGACGAAUCAUCUGGAAAGAUGAAUCAAAGAAGGUAAUAAUCCUGUAGUCGAAAAUGUUGUCUCUCUUGAGUGGAUCCUGAGUACGACGGAGCACGUGAAAUUCCGUCGGAAUCUGGGAGGACCAUCUCCUAAGGCUAAAUACUCUCUAGUGACCGAUAGUGAACCAGUACCGUGAGGGAAAGGUGAAAAGCACCCCGGAAGGGGAGUGAAAUAGAACCUGAAACCGUGUGCUUACAAGUAGUCAGAGCCCGUUAAUGGGUGAUGGCGUGCCUUUUGUAGAAUGAACCGGCGAGUUACGAUUUGAUGCAAGGUUAAGCAGUAAAUGUGGAGCCGUAGCGAAAGCGAGUCUGAAUAGGGCGUUUAGUAUUUGGUCGUAGACCCGAAACCAGGUGAUCUACCCUUGGUCAGGUUGAAGUUCAGGUAACACUGAAUGGAGGACCGAACCGACUUACGUUGAAAAGUGAGCGGAUGAACUGAGGGUAGCGGAGAAAUUCCAAUCGAACCUGGAGAUAGCUGGUUCUCUCCGAAAUAGCUUUAGGGCUAGCCUCAAGUGAUGAUUAUUGGAGGUAGAGCACUGUUUGGACGAGGGGCCCCUCUCGGGUUACCGAAUUCAGACAAACUCCGAAUGCCAAUUAAUUUAACUUGGGAGUCAGAACAUGGGUGAUAAGGUCCGUGUUCGAAAGGGAAACAGCCCAGACCACCAGCUAAGGUCCCAAAAUAUAUGUUAAGUGGAAAAGGAUGUGGCGUUGCCCAGACAACUAGGAUGUUGGCUUAGAAGCAGCCAUCAUUUAAAGAGUGCGUAAUAGCUCACUAGUCGAGUGACACUGCGCCGAAAAUGUACCGGGGCUAAACAUAUUACCGAAGCUGUGGAUUGUCCUUUGGACAAUGGUAGGAGAGCGUUCUAAGGGCGUUGAAGCAUGAUCGUAAGGACAUGUGGAGCGCUUAGAAGUGAGAAUGCCGGUGUGAGUAGCGAAAGACGGGUGAGAAUCCCGUCCACCGAUUGACUAAGGUUUCCAGAGGAAGGCUCGUCCGCUCUGGGUUAGUCGGGUCCUAAGCUGAGGCCGACAGGCGUAGGCGAUGGAUAACAGGUUGAUAUUCCUGUACCACCUAUAAUCGUUUUAAUCGAUGGGGGGACGCAGUAGGAUAGGCGAAGCGUGCGAUUGGAUUGCACGUCUAAGCAGUAAGGCUGAGUAUUAGGCAAAUCCGGUACUCGUUAAGGCUGAGCUGUGAUGGGGAGAAGACAUUGUGUCUUCGAGUCGUUGAUUUCACACUGCCGAGAAAAGCCUCUAGAUAGAAAAUAGGUGCCCGUACCGCAAACCGACACAGGUAGUCAAGAUGAGAAUUCUAAGGUGAGCGAGCGAACUCUCGUUAAGGAACUCGGCAAAAUGACCCCGUAACUUCGGGAGAAGGGGUGCUCUUUAGGGUUAACGCCCAGAAGAGCCGCAGUGAAUAGGCCCAAGCGACUGUUUAUCAAAAACACAGGUCUCUGCUAAACCGUAAGGUGAUGUAUAGAGGCUGACGCCUGCCCGGUGCUGGAAGGUUAA